UACGGAGGGGGCUAGCGUUGUUCGGAAUUACUGGGCGUAAAGCGCACGUAGGCGGCUUUGUAAGUUAGAGGUGAAAGCCCGGAGCUCAACUCCGGAAUUGCCUUUAAGACUGCAUCGCUAGAAUUGUGGAGAGGUGAGUGGAAUUCCGAGUGUAGAGGUGAAAUUCGUAGAUAUCAGGAGGAACACCGGUGGCGAAAGCGGCUCACUGGCCCGAUAUUGACGCUCAUGUACGAAAGCGUGGGGAGCAAACAGG
rnacentral:rRNA from 1 species